rnacentral:rRNA from 1 species
GUGCACCAGGCGAGAAUUUUUGACAAUGGGGGAAACCCUGAUCGAGCGACGCCGCGUGGAGGAUGAAGGUCUUCGGAUUGUAAACUCCUGUCAUUGGGGAACAAGGUGCAUACGUUAACUACGUGUGUAUUGAUAGUACCCGAAGAGGAAGGGACGGCUAACUCUGUGCCAGCAGCCGCGGUAAUACAGAGGUCCCAAGCGUUGUUCGGAUUCAUUGGGCGUAAAGGGUGCGUAGGCGGCGCGGUAAGUCGGGUGUGAAAUCUCGGAGCUUAACUCCGAAACUGCAUUCGAUACUGCCGUGCUUGAGGACUGGAGAGGAGACUGGAAUUUACGGUGUAGCGGUGAAAUGCGUAGAUAUCGUAAGGAAGACCAGUGGCGAAGGCGGGUCUCUGGACAGUUCCUGACGCUGAGGCACGAAGGCCAGGGGAGCAAACGGGAUUAGAUACCCCUGUAGU